rnacentral:rRNA from 1 species
UACGGAGGGUGCAAGCGUUGUCCGGAUUUAUUGGGUUUAAAGGGUGCGUAGGCGGCCCUGUAAGUCAGUGGUGAAAUACUGCAGCUUAACUGUAGCAUUGCCAUUGAUACUGUAGGGCUUGAGUACAGAUGAGGUAGGCGGAAUUGAUGGUGUAGCGGUGAAAUGCAUAGAUACCAUCAAGAACACCGAUUGCGAAGGCAGCUUACUAAGCUGUAACUGGCGCUGAGGCACGAAAGCGUGGGGAUCGAACAGG